AGAGUUUGAUCCUGGCUCAGGAUGAACGCUAGCGGCAGGCCUAACACAUGCAAGUCGAGGGGCAUCGGGAUUGAAGCUUGCUUCAAUUGCCGGCGACCGGCGCACGGGUGCGUAACGCGUAUGUAACCUACCUAUAACAGGGGCAUAACACUGAGAAAUUGGUACUAAUUCCCCAUAAUAUUCGGAGAGGCAUCUCUCCGGGUUGAAAACUCCGGUGGUUAUAGAUGGACAUGCGUUGUAUUAGCUAGUUGGUGAGGUAACGGCUCACCAAGGCAACGAUACAUAGGGGGACUGAGAGGUUAACCCCCCACACUGGUACUGAGACACGGACCAGACUCCUACGGGAGGCAGCAGUGAGGAAUAUUGGUCAAUGGACGCAAGUCUGAACCAGCCAUGCCGCGUGCAGGAAGACGGCUCUAUGAGUUGUAAACUGCUUUUGUACGAGGGUAAACUCACCUACGUGUAGGUGACUGAAAGUAUCGUACGAAUAAGGAUCGGCUAACUCCGUGCCAGCAGCCGCGGUAAUACGGAGGAUCCAAGCGUUAUCCGGAUUUAUUGGGUUUAAAGGGUGCGUAGGCGGUUUAGUAAGUCAGCGGUGAAAUUUUGGUGCUUAACACCAAACGUGCCGUUGAUACUGCUGGGCUAGAGAGUAGUUGCGGUAGGCGGAAUGUAUGGUGUAGCGGUGAAAUGCUUAGAGAUCAUACAGAACACCGAUUGCGAAGGCAGCUUACCAAACUAUAUCUGACGUUGAGGCACGAAAGCGUGGGGAGCAAACAGGAUUAGAUACCCUGGUAGUCCACGCAGUAAACGAUGAUAGCUCGUUGUCGGCGAUACACAGUCGGUGACUAAGAGAAAUCGAUAAGCUAUCCACCUGGGGAGUACGUUCGCAAGAAUGAAACUCAAAGGAAUUGACGGGGGCCCGCACAAGCGGAGGAACAUGUG
rnacentral:rRNA from 1 species